rnacentral:lncRNA from 1 species
AUAUGAUUUCGAAAAUCUAUAUUCAGCAUUCGAAAUUGAACCAGUUUGCCUUACCUUCUACAGAUUUUUGCUAACCCAUACAGCAGAAGUUGAAGCUAAACCGCAAGUCUUAAGAGGAAGCGUAUCUCCUCACUCAUAAGUCAUAUUUUAUUUUCACUAAUAGGUUUUACCAGCAAUGCAGAGGUGUCUUCAUUGCUAUCCUUUGGCUGCCCCCCUCACUGAAAUUGUAUUAACAGAAGUUGAAUAUAAGGCCUUAGAGACUUUACAAGCUGGUUUGAGAUUUUACCUACGUUAUGUAGAUAAUAUUAUUACUGUCUGGAAUAAAGAUUUUGAUCCAAAACUCUUAGAAGAGCAAUUAACUAUUAAGGGUAUGACCUCACGUUAAAACAGCAGCAAUUGAGCCAAAGUGAAGUACAUUUCCUAGAUUUGAAAUUACAAGUGAGAAAUAAAGCUUUGAUUAUUACAGUUUAUAGAAAACCCUCUUAUGAACCAGUGAUUAUCCCAAAUUGGUCUCCAGAUCCAUUUGCCCUUAAAAAAUCUGCAUUU